rnacentral:lncRNA from 1 species
AGUCACUAGAAUUUCAUUCAUUUGUAUAGAUUUAGCACCAAUAAAAGUUUGGAAACAGUACUAAUAGGCUUAAAUAAGUCUACGGUGCUCACGAUUCUUUUGAGACAGUUAUGGAAUGCUGUCCUAAUUUAAGCAUAAUGUGCUGAUUUACCCUGAAUUUUUCAAUUAGAACAAAGACUUGAUUCAGAGGAUGAAAAAGGGAUAAAACAACCUUAGCCAGAAACACUUUUCUCCUCCCCUCCCUAUACCUCUGUCAAUAAAUAAAUAAAUAAAUAAAUAAAUAAAAAUAAGUCUAACUCUGGUAAUUAUCACAGGUGUGACUGCUUAGUGACUCUACUUCAUUUCUAGCAUGUUCUCCCUUUCAUUCUCCUAGGUCAUUAGCUCUUACUUUCCCUCUCUCCUCAGAUCUUUAACAGCCGCCCCCCCCCCCCAGCUUCAUCCUCAAAUGAGCUUUGCUGUUUCACUUAAAGAAGAGUCAUGAUGAAAAGUCAAGUCCAGAGGAAACGAGAUUGCCUGGCUGGUCCUAAUACAGUGGAAGAGAUGAAACCCUUGAGAAUACUGUUGACAAGUGAGGGGAUGUCUAUAUUUUAGAGCUGAAUGGAAACAACCUUUUAUUCUUCCCAGUGUUUUGAGAGUGAAGUAUAUAGCACCUAUCUAACGUCUGUUCGAUUAGUUUUUUUUUAAAUAUAACCUCUAAAUCAAACAAGCCAACAUAUAUGGGAGAUAAAUCCAAAGCCUUUAUCCAGUCAUGAGAAAGUCAACUUGGAAAUGCGCAAGUAACAGAUGAGUUGUCUGUGGCCCGGAUAAAGCAGGUUGGCCUGCUGGAAGGAGAAUUAGCUUUAUGGAUUGAUUGGGAUUCACAUCUCAACUCUGCCACCUGCUAAGGGUGGACCUUGAACGAAUAAUCUUUCUAAGCCCCAUAGUCCUUAGAUGUAUGGAUUUUCCCUCAUAUGUGGGAGGGGCUUAAAGCAUAUUUUUAAUAAUAUGUAGCUUCAGCAUUUCACUUAAUCACAAGAAAAUAUAUCUGACCUCUACAUGCCCUAGGUGGCUCAUUUGAAUAUAUGAUCAGAAUAAAGUGUCCUGGCAUAAAAUUAUUUUCCUUUUC